ensembl:lncRNA
GUUCCUCUUCACCCUACAAAAAAUGUUGCAAUGCUAUCUUCUUGUCUUCAUAACAAGCAUAAGCAUGUAGGCCCGUGCCUGACUUCCACUGUAAACCACAGUGAUUGUAGUGUAAAGAAUGUACACAAAGAAUGUGCUUAAAGGAGCAGCUUACCCUAAAUUCAUUUUUUUUUACCCUCAUGUCAUUCUGUGAAACCCAAAAAGGGAUGUAAGGCAGAACGACAGUCUAUGAAAGCGAAUGGUGACUGAGACUGUCAUUCCGCCUAACAUCUCCUUUUCUGUUCCUCAGAAGAAAGUCAUUAUGAGGCGGUCGUUCCGGAUUUCGAGUCUAGGCGCGCGACUCUCCACGCCUACCUGCGGCGGGCCACGCCAACCGCGCCUCUGCUACACCGCUGUGGACAUGUGGGACAAAUGCCCAGGCUUGAGGUAAAGUCAGUUACAAUUCAAAUAACAUGACAAAAUAUAAUAAUGUUGGUAAUUAGCUCAAUUUGCAAAAAUGUCUCUUUCUCGGUCUCUGAAUCAGUAAAACACCGUAUCUCUCCACUCUUCUGCAUGUUGCAGCUUGAUACGCCUCCAGCGACGGAUUCUGCAGGAUUCAUGUCAAGUCAACCCAAGCACAGCGCACAAUAACACAACUGCUGGGAUAUUCAAAUACAUUUACAUUUCUAUUUCAUGGGCCUGGAGUGGUGGUUUACAAGUGAGAGAAGGAGAGACGGAGAGAAGAGCUACUGUGUAUCACCUGCUAAUCAGAUUCUCAGUUUAUGCUCCAAGGCCCUCGAUGAAAACACUUGAAAAUAUGGUAGAUUUAGCCAACCAGCUGAAACUCUCACAUAAGAACAAUCUGUUAGACCUCUUACAAGAAACUGCUGAGGAACUGAGAGUUUUACAACCAGUAAAAGCAGGAGAAGAAACAGGACCUGAGCAAUCCUCUAAUGGCCGUAGACAUUCAGCUGGACUUCACACAAGACUUUUCUUCAGAAGACUUUUCUAGGUCCUCAGGACAUUUUGUGAGCUACACACCCAGAGAGUGUGUGUGCUGAGAGAGGUUCUUUGCAGUACAGGAAACACACUCACUGAGCGUAGGAUGUACUCUAAUUUGGUGCACACACACCCAGACACUGAGUCUCGAGAGACAACAGCUGAUGUGGGUAAGUGCUUCACGAGAAGCUUGAGAUGUUUGUGAAGGAAGGAGUGUUUCCAAACUGUGUGUGUGUGUGUGUGUGUGUGUGUGUGUGUGUGUGUGUGUGUGUGUGUGUGUGUGUGUGUGUGGUCUCAAAGCUCUGUUGGCAUGACUGUGACGGUGUAGCCAUGCAUAGCAUUCUUAUGUACUUAGUGCAUAAAACAGUUUAAAUAAAUAUAUUUAAAAUAUAUAUAUAUAUACAAAGCCGAUUCCAAAAAAGUUGGGACACUGUACAAAUUGUGAAUAAAAACAGAAUGCAAUGAUGUGGAAGUUUCAAAUUUCAAUAUUUUAUUCAGAAUACAACAUAGAUGACAUAUCAAAUGUUUAAACUGAGAAAAUGUAUCAUUUUAAGGGAAAAAUAAGUUGAUUUUAAAUUUCAUGGCAUCAACACAUCUCAAAAAAGUUGGGACAAGGCCACGUUUACCAUUGUGUGGCAUCCCCUCUUCUUUUUAUAACAGUCUGCAAACGUCUGGGGACUGAAGAGACAAGUUGCUCAAGUUUAGGAAUAGGAAUGUUGUCCCAUUCUUGUCUAACACAGGCUUCUAGUUGCUCAAGUGUCUUAGGUCUCCUUUGUCGCAUCUUCCUCUUUAUGAUGUGCCAAAUGUUUUCUAUGGGUGAAAGAUCUGG